AAGGACUAUGAGGACUAAAUGUGGAUCAAAAGCAUCUAUUCCCUUACUUCUUACAAUACAAUAUUACUCCAAAAUAUUCGUAUUCCAUGAUUCAUUCAACCUUUCCUCAGUUGUUAGGUAUUCAUUAAAAUGUCAGUUAUUGGAAGAUGCAAAAAUAAGUUCUCUUGCUAUUCUGCAUGGAACUCAAAAAUAAGUUCUCUUGCUAUUCUGCAUGGAACUAUCUCAAAAGACCAAAAAGUAAAUACAACAUGUAAGUAGGUCUCUGCACAAGUUUCUCAUUUCUACCCCAUUGUCUUCAAUUGGGCAAAAUAUGACUAGAAUGUACGGUGUCCUCAUUAUUCAGGUUAGCAUGGAAGAGAGCCAUUUGUUUCUAAAUCAGAUAUUAAAAUAGUAACAUGGUUAUAUAUUUUAGGAAGCCGUGACUUCUGGAGGCAUGGAAUAUGAAGAAUAAGAAGGUUCUCAUGUAAUCUACAGUAAAUCUUAAAAUAAGUUUGUUUUUUUCCCUCAAGCUGUGGAAAAGCACCAGAAUUUACUCUGCAGCUGUAAUAUUUGCAUGUGAAAAGUUUUUGUCAUUCAACUUUUUUUUCUUCCUACAGAUUUCUCCAAGGCAGAAACUUCUCUUUUGCCAAUAGUUAUACUGGCCAAAAUAGUAACAUAUGUCCACUGGAGAAGAAAGUCAGUAUCACAUCUUAGUCCUAAAUGACUUUAGGGCCAGAUUUUCAAAGUAUCCAAGUACUGCUUCUGUCUUCGCUUUUUUGGGGGAAAGUUAUUUUGCUUUGUAAAUCUCAAAUGGAUUGUCUUUUACUCAUAUCAGUAAAAUCAUAAAUUCAGAAAUUGAAAGGUCCUCAAUGGUGGCUUAAUUCAAACUCUUAUUUUACAGAUGAUAAAAACUGAUCACAGCUAACAUAUAACCCAUGUUCCUCUGAUUAAAAAUUCUAAGAGUUUUCUUCUGUGCUAUAUUCCCUUCUUUUGAAAUUGUAUUAAGAAACACAGUACUUCAUGUCUUCAAGAAACUUUUCAAAGACUUGACAAAAUCUUUUUUUGUGUGUGUGUGCGGGCUAUUACCAAGGUAAAUGUAUUUGAAAGGCAUGAUACCUAUCCUGAGCUUUUCUGCUCUGCCUUAGAGUGGACUUAUUUAGCUUUCUUGCUCUCACCCCUACAAACAUGUUGAACUUUGUAUUAUGCAUGCUAGUAUAGAAAUGGUUUCCAAGAAGUAAGAGACUACAAGCAGCCUCUCAGAGAAGGAGAAAGUCUAUGUUCUUGUCAGGAUUACUGACAACAGCUGUUUCCUACUUUCUGUAUGGACAGAUUGCCUUGUUCUUUUAGUUGUGGAAAUAACUUGCAGAACACAGAACAUUACUGAUAACUAGAGGGCCUUCCUCUAGCAUUCCAAGAACAAGAAACCCUAUUCUCAGAAUCACUGUUCAUUGGCUCUAUUGCCUUACCUAACUGAAAGCAAGCCAAUGAAGUGCUAGAGACAUUGAUAGGACUUCUGAGAUCUUCUGAGGGUCUUAACUAGGGUCCAAGAACCUUUCUUUUAAAAUAUUUUGUUAACUCUCUUUCAGUAUAAUUAGAUUCCUUUGGGAUACUAUGUAUUUUACACAUAUAAAAAAAUUAUUCUGAGAAAGGGUCCACAGAAUUCAUAAAGUUGUCAAAGGGUUGAUGUCACAAAAAUAAAAUGUAGGAAUCCUUGUUCUAAAUGAACCUAUAUUUGAAUAGGGAUUUUUUUUUCAAAUUUCCUUGAAAACGGUAAUCUAGCUGUUUAUUAAAAACCUCUACAAUGAAGGAAUGAAGCAUCCUGCAAGGUAGCCCAAUCUGUGUUUUUUUUUUUAAAGUUUCUAUUUUUAGGAUAGUUUUCCUUAUGAUGAGCCAAAAGUUAACUCCCUGAAACUUUCCUUAAUUUCUCCUAACUUCACCUUGCUAGUUACCUAAUUCUAUUCCUCCUGUAUGUCUUCUUCAGUCAUUCUCCUGAGGAGCGCAUUGGUAGUGAAGGAAAUCAUGAAGAGACCAGAAAGGCCCACAGCAAAUUUGUGCCAUGGAAUCUCAGCUGGUUUUUCACUAUUAUACUAUAGUACUUUAUUCAUCCCUUUGAAAGAUAUGGAGCCAGACCUGUACUAAAAUAUGAAGUCAUUGUGAAUUACCUCUAUUUAUAAAAAGGGAGGAGAUACAUCCUUUCAGCCUUUGUAGAAUGUUUCAUAAAAGUCCAAAGAAAUCCCUAUUCGGUGAAGAAUCAAAUUCAUCCUGUUUUUUCAAAUUUAUUUUUGCUAAUUAUUAUUCUUUUCAGUUAAGGAUAGUUAAUUUUCACAUCGCUCAAAUGACAAAUUCCUAUUUAUUCUAUUCCUCUUAAUUUGAUUUCCCUACAAAAUGUCUGGCCUGGUUGCCUUAGCUAUUUUAGAAAUGCAAGAACUUUUGGUUUCAUGAUAGCAUUCCUCUCCUCUACCUUGUACUUCUGCCUCUCAGCCCUGAUAGCCCUCCGUUAGAUUGGUUUGUCAACAAUUUUUAUCAGUAGCAUUUUUAGCUAUUUGAACAUAGAUCUAAUGUUUAUCUGCUCCAAGAUAAUGUAAGAAAGUUAUAUAUAAAAUGUAUGUCCCAUUAGGAGAAUGUCUGUUUUCCAACAGUGCUAUUCAAUGUCAAACAUUUAUUGAAGUUACUGCCUGUUGCCUUUCAUUUUGGGAUUAUUUUACCAAUCUUUGAUCUGUACAUAAUACACAUAUCUAAUAUUUCAAAAAACAAUUAAGUACUGAUUUAUAUGAAGUAUUAUAUAAUGACACAGUAUUCAUUUUACAGGAUGCACAAAAAUUACCUUUUUUCUUUUUUUUCCUUCAUCCUUUGACUUUUGUCCCUAUAGCCACAUCAGUUUUAAAUAUUGACAUAGUGGAUUCACCAUAGCAAAAUGGAAAGGCGUAAUCUCUUCUGGAGGCAUAAGACCUAGAUUAAAAUUCCACCUUUCCCGUCUGUUAACUAUGUAACAUUAGGGAAUCAUUGUGAUUUCCUAGUCCUCAGUUUCCUCAUCUGUAAAAUUAUAGAAUAUAUUAAAUGAUCUCAAAGGUCCAUUUCAGGUCUAAAUUGAUCUAUUACCUUAUGAUUUUUCAUUAUUUGUCCCUCAAUCAUUUCCUAUAUUAAUUUGAGUUUGACUAAACUUAUUGGAUUCUGCCUUACUAAGUCUAGUUAAAUCAAUCAUCAUAUUUCUUGAACCCUCUAUUUUGUCAGGGUGGAACAGACCAGGUUAGAACUUUUAUCUUGGUCCAGUAAGGACCAUGACAAGUUAACUUAGUUUUCUUGAUGACAGAUUCCCUUAACUUUUGCACAAACUAAUAUAAAUUAUUAAUUUGUGCUUUAGAUCAAUACACAUGUUUGACUAGAAUGCUGUGAAUUGUUCCCCAUUAUUGCUUCUCUGUAUAAUCCCAAAUCUUGAUUUUGGAUGUCCAUUUUCAUCUUCUAAUUGAGAUAAGAAUGAACCAUCCUCAUUCCAGAACAUUUUGGAUGCUUUGCCUGACAGCCUGAAAAUUCAUAGAAAAUUAGCAAUGACAUCUUGUAACUUGUAAAUACCUUUGGCUCCUACAGAGCAGAGUUAUUGUACAUUCAUGCAAAUGAGACAUCAUAGCAAUAGUGAUAGUAAAGACUAUGAAGAAUCUUUAAAAUAUGAAUUACAGAGACUUCUUUUAAAAAAAAAAACUGCUAAUGUCCUUGGAAGAAAUAGCAAUACAGCAGACAUGCACUGCAAUUUUUGUUAAUCACCUGCUCAGUCUUUAUUCAUAGAUGACCAGUAAAUAACUUCAAAAGAUAGUCUUUUAGCCCCUUCCUACUUCCUUGAUGUUCCAGAUCAUACCUAUAUAGAAUUUCAUCUAAUUCAUAGACACAAGUGCUUUCAGUAGUAUUCUCCUUGUGAGCAGUAGCUCAUUGUGAAUGGAUGAGAUUACUUUCAUGGGCCAGUGCAUCAUCCCUGCCCUGAGAUCUCUUUAAUGUAGUAUAACUGUAUCUUAGACCAUUUCUAUCAGGAUUUUCCUGUGUUUGUCUUGCAAAUGCAGGCAAUGUAACAAACUCUCAGAGUUUCUCAAAAGUCUCUUUGGUGUCGUAGAACCUAUUAUCCAUUGCAAUGUAGUUUCAUGGCUGGUUUCUCAUUUCAUGCUAAAAUGUAUCAUCCUCAUUUUAUUGAUGGUGAAGGUGAGGCUCAGGGAGGUACUUGCUACAGUUUGCUUAGUUAGCUGGUGGCAGAGAGGGAACUAGAAGUCAUACUUGUAAAAUACAAUGUUCUCUUCACUAUACUAGGAUGACACCAAAUUUGCAGCUGUGACUACCUAUUCACUCCAAGGAACAUUUAUUAUGCUCUAAAAACCUGAAAGGUACUUUGCUAGGUACUGGAGAGAGAAAGUUAAAAAUGAAACAAAUAUUGUCUUCAAGGUGCUUUUAUUCAACAGACAUACUGCUUUAUAGAUGCUCUUCUUUAAUUCAACUCAGUUCUUAUCAUAAACUUUUCAAUAAAUAGUUCUUCACAAUGAUUACAGUAGUAACAAAAAUAAAGUGGCUCGCUUCUGGAGGUAAUAUAUUUUUUUUCCCUGGACAUCUUUAAGCAGGGCUUAAAUAAACUACUUGAGAGCAAUCAUAUCAUAGUAUCUGGUAGUUAUUUAAGAAGUCAGAUUAGUCCCCCUCAUUGUACAGAUGAGGAAAUCAAGACUCAAGGAUGUUGAAUCAUUGUUUACUUAGGCAAUAAGCCUUAGAAGCAAUAUUUGCACCUUUAGACUCUAGAACCAGUUCUCUUUCCACUGUGUCAUAUUUAUACUUUCAUAGAGAGGAUUCCUUCUGAUUCAGGUACUAACUAGUACCUAAUUUAACUAAAUUAGGUCCCUUCUAAAGUACCUUCCAACUCUAAUAUUUUUUUGAUGCCGUGAUUCAGCUCGCCUAAUCACAAUUUCCUCUUUGCCUAUUUUUCUCCCAUUUGUCAGUCAAUAAACAUUUCUUAAAUGCCUGCUAUAUAACAGGAAUUGUAUUAAGGAAUUAGUCCCUGUCCUCAAGGAACUCACAAUCUUAUAAUCUUAUGAGGGAGGCAAUAUGUAAACAACUAUAUACCCCCCCAAAGUGCUCUUUCUUUCU